CUUCCUCCCCGCCUCAUCCAAACAAGCUCGGCGGCGCCCAUGGAGAUUGGCUGGUGGCUUGGCUCCUAUAUCGGCUCAAGCCGUCGGCAAGAAGAUUUGAUACAGAAACCAGGCUCAUGCUUAUGACAUGUGGGCCAACAUCAUUAACUUGGGGAAAUUUGAGAAUUUUGGGUUUUUUGUUAGUAAUUAGUCUUGGACUCGUGGGUAUCAAUUAAAAGCCUCUGGGUUCGUGGGUUUUUGUUACAAGAGCCGCUAGAUAUGUGUUUUUGUGCAAUUUACUCAAACUUAAAAGAGACAUACGAGAAAGAUGAUUGAAUUUGUAGGAUUUGAAGAAUAACCGUGUAAAAUUGAAUAGAGUUAGUUUGCUAUUGAGCAAUCAACAAUCUUACUCCCUCUCGAUAUUCUGUUUAUAUUUGGAUCAUGGAGUUUCCUGUCAUAUCCAUACAUAUUACUGUGUUAUCCUUUUACAUCUCCCUUUCAAGUCAGUUUCAAAUUAGAUCCUUGUUCAUGUUUUUUAUUUUAUUUUAUUAUUUUGUCAGGUUAUUGUGAUUUUUCUACAUGGGCAAUAAACAUUAAAAAAAUCAUAGCACCACAAUUCUGGUUAUCUAGUCUAGCUACCUAAUUGGGCACAACUAGUACAUCGCUUCAAAGCAAGGCCUAAUUUUCACUUGACACAUGUCCUGCAUCUCAAUCAAAUUAAAAUAGAACAAAAGUGGACCUAAAACUGUAAAAGACUUUCCUUAAUUGUGAAGGCUGAUCUAAAGCACCGGCUUCCUGAACUUUCCCGGAAUUAAAUUAGUCACCAGAAGGUUCGUUUUGUUUCCCACAUGCCGAUUCCGCUGACGAUAAGAUCACCUAUCACCACUUUUUUCAGAUAUUCUAUCACAGUUCUGGGAACAGCCAUUCGUGCCCCUCAGGCUUGAGAAUCUGCCGUUGAAAUAAAAGGAUAAUGCUCGCAAAGAAAAAUAAAAUAAAAGGAAAUACUUGUGUACACCAUUCAGGUAGCAUACGCUUGGUAGAAGACAGCCACG
rnacentral:lncRNA from 1 species